rnacentral:rRNA from 1 species
UACGGGGGGAGCAAGCGUUGUUCGGAUUUCCUGGGCGUAAAGCGUGCGUAGGCGGUUAUUUAAGUCGGGUGUGAAAGCCCCGGGCUCAACCUGGGAAUUGCAUUCGAGACUGAAUAGCUAGGGUACGGUAGAGGGAAGCGGAAUUUCCGGUGUAGCGGUGAAAUGCGUAGAUAUCGGAAGGAACAUCAGUGGCGAAAGCGGCUUCCUGGACCAGUACCGACGUUCAGGCACGAAAGCGUGGGGAGCAAACAGG